rnacentral:piRNA from 1 species
GAGUACACUGAAACCGGAAGCAGAAGC